rnacentral:rRNA from 1 species
CGGAGCAAGUUCCGUUCAUGGCGCUCGACUGCACGUGGGCGGCAGGCCUAACACAUGCAAGUCGAGCGGAUGAAGGGGAGCUUGCUCCUGGAUUCAGCGGCGGACGGGUGAGUAAUGCCUAGGAAUCUGCCUGGUAGUGGGGGAUAACGUCCGGAAACGGGCGCUAAUACCGCAUACGUCCUGAGGGAGAAAGUGGGGGAUCUUCGGACCUCACGCUAUCAGAUGAGCCUAGGUCGGAUUAGCUAGUUGGUGGGGUAAAGGCCUACCAAGGCGACGAUCCGUAACUGGUCUGAGAGGAUGAUCAGUCACACUGGAACUGAGACACGGUCCAGACUCCUACGGGAGGCAGCAGUGGGGAAUAUUGGACAAUGGGCGAAAGCCUGAUCCAGCCAUGCCGCGUGUGUGAAGAAGGUCUUCGGAUUGUAAAGCACUUUAAGUUGGGAGGAAGGGCAGUAAGUUAAUACCUUGCUGUUUUGACGUUACCAACAGAAUAAGCACCGGCUAACUUCGUGCCAGCAGCCGCGGUAAUACGAAGGGUGCAAGCGUUAAUCGGAAUUACUGGGCGUAAAGCGCGCGUAGGUGGUUCAGCAAGUUGGAUGUGAAAUCCCCGGGCUCAACCUGGGAACUGCAUCCAAAACUACUGAGCUAGAGUACGGUAGAGGGUGGUGGAAUUUCCUGUGUAGCGGUGAAAUGCGUAGAUAUAGGAAGGAACACCAGUGGCGAAGGCGACCACCUGGACUGAUACUGACACUGAGGUGCGAAAGCGUGGGGAGCAAACAGGAUUAGAUACCCUGGUAGUCCACGCCGUAAACGAUGUCGACUAGCCGUUGGGAUCCUUGAGAUCUUAGUGGCGCAGCUAACGCGAUAAGUCGACCCGCUCUGGGGAGGG